rnacentral:SRP_RNA from 1 species
GCCGGGCGUGGUGGCGGGCGCCUGUAGUCCCAGUUACUCGGGAGGCUGAGGCAGGAGAAUGGUGUGAACCUGGGAGGUGGAGGUUGCAAUGAGCCAAGAUUGGGCCACUGCACUCCAGCCUGGGCGACAGAGCAAGCCUCCGUCUCAAAAAAAAAUAAAAUAAAAAUAAAGAAAAGAACAAAUCUUUGUUGUUGUUGUUUUUGUGACGGAGUCUUGCUCUGUCGCCCAGGCUGGAGUGCAGUGGCGCAAUCUCGGCUCACCGCAACCUCUGCCUCCUGGGUUCAAGUGAUUCUCCUGCCUCCC